rnacentral:snoRNA from 1 species
AUGUGUGUGAUGUGAACAGAACAGUAUGAGAAACUGAUACUGUAAACACUUUCUAAUGUG